AUGGAGACGUCUGUGCAGGACAGCCCUUGGGCCCAGCGUGACUUCCAACCGUGAUUCCUCAAGUGAUUCCUGCAACUGUGAUUCCUCACAAGUUCCAGCAGUGCUGCAUGCAUGUGCAGGGGAAAACAAGGAGGCAUGAGGCAAGGAUCACACCCUCAGAAAAUGUUCAGUUUACCAGAGAAGGUAGACACACAGCAAAUAAUGAUGGCACAAACUGAAAGCGAUGUCUGCCACACAAGUAGCCACGAGAAGAAAGGACACAAAUACAAGCAAACACUGUCAGGCCCCCUAAUGUGAACACGACCAUCAGUUUCAGGUGGGCACAAGGAAUGAAGGCUUAGUCCGGUCUAAGAUGUGGGUGUCUAAGCGGGUGGUUUUGAGGGACAGAACUUCUGUCCUGUUUCACCCUCUUCACUUCCUUUCUCCUCCUUACUGAGGGUCAUAGCCUUUGAUUGUGCUCCAUUUCACUAAAAGGUGCAGGUACUUUUCCUUCAAAAUAAGCUCAAACCCUUCCUGAACGCUUUCUCUUUCAACUCUUAUCUGUAAGAGAGCUAGGGCCUUUGCCCAAUGUGUGAGAAGAGGUGCAACUUGCUUCCUCUCCUGCAUUCACCUUAGCAGGGUUGUCUUCCGCGCGGCUGAGGUGGCCAAGCUGCUCACAUCCCUGCACCCAGGUCUUGGCCACUACCAAAUGGAGAAGCCCAGUCGACAAAUGCUGUGGCCGGGCAUUGUCACCCCAGCUGCGAGACCUUCUCUCUAUCCAUGGGGAGGGAAUAGAAGGCUUCAUUUAUGCCACCAUAUGAGCAAUAAGAACUUUGGACUGGUUUUAUAAGUGAAUUUGUAAUCUCACAUCCCAAGAAAAAAGUCUUCUGCAGUUUCCAAACCCUUUUAGGUUCACUUGCUUGUUAAUUUUAUUGUGAGAAGAAUAAAUAAAAUCAGAAAUACAUAAAUAAAAAUAUUUUGAUGAGAUUGUCAUUCAAAAUGGAUUUGUUGGUGCAA
rnacentral:lncRNA from 1 species